CAAUGUUAACCUCUUUUCUUUUUCUCUUUUCUUUUUCUCUUUUCAGAGAACUGAGCUGAAAAAGAAAGGAUAUUUUGGUGGAUCUAGCUAGUAAUUCAAGCCUGAUAUUAUACAGUAAUCUUGCAUGCUUCUUUCUCAACCUCUAGAGCCGCCAGCGACUAGCUCACCACGUGGCUAGGGUUGUCAAGUGUGAAAGUGCAAGUGCAAAUACAAAUUAAACUACAAUGUUUCCUUCAAACAAAAACAUCAAUGGUUACUAUGACCCAGUCCAUUUUACAAAUGACCCAUCAAUUUUCAAUAAGCCCUUUUUCAAUGACAUCAUCCCAAAUUCAAAACUAGGAGAUGCUUCUUUAUCCUUCUUGCACUUCCCAUUAGAUGACCAUGAUGACUUUCUCCAUGAGCUUUUACUUCAACAUCAACCUUUGGGAACUGAUAAUAUUCCUACUGUGUCUGAAAGUGUUGUCGACAUGGUGUACUCAACCCAAAAUGAACUUAACAAUAGUCCAAACGUCACCACCCAGCAGCCCCCGAGGAGAAAGGCACCUGCUCCAAAGAAAGAUCGGCACAGCAAAAUCAACACUGCUAGAGGACUAAGAGACCGGAGAAUGAGAUUGUCUCUUGAAGUUGCUCGACGUUUUUUCAAACUGCAAGAUAUGUUAGGCUAUGACAAAGCCAGUAAAACUGUUGAGUGGUUGCUUUCACAGGCAAAACAUGAGAUCGAAAAACUAGAAGGACAUCAUCCCUGCAUCGUGAACAAUAUACUGGAAGGACAGCUUCCCCAGAUCGUGAAUUACAGUUACAGUGCUGGUGCAAAGAGUUCUUCGUCUACUAACGAGUGUGAAGUGGUAUCUGGAGUACACAAGGCUGCCAUCAAUUCUGAAGGAUCAAAACCUUCAAUUAAAGCAAACAAGAUCAGACAGUCCCGUAAGAAUGUUCUUCGCCCUCCUACGAGGGAUAUGAGGAACAAAGCAAGAGCAAGGGCUAGAGAGAGGACACGUAGAAAGAUGUUUGGUCGCAACCUAGAAACGACUAACUUGUCCAAUCAAUUAUUGUCUUGCAGUUCCUUUGAAAAUGGUGAAGAAUCAGGUCUAUACGAGAACUGUUCCUUGGAUGUAGUGGCCGGGGUUGAAGAACAAGGUUCUGAGCAUUUAGCCAACCUUGAACAAUUUGAAGAUGAUUCUGUGGUGGUUAUGGAAAAGUGGAGCCCCACUUCCAGUUUCAAUUAUCCCCACAACAUCGGAACUCCCGAAGAGCAUCAAUUUCCAGAUUUUCAAUUCUUCGGCAAACCAUAGAAGCCUGCUACAACAAUUAAUCAAGAACAUCAAUGCUAAAAAGAGUUAUCUCUAUCUUUGGUGUGUGUCAAAUAGGUAUCUGAGAUAUCCAGGCUUACAUUGGAACCUACUUAAUCCUCAGAGUCACGGAAUACUCUACAAGUCCAAUAAAUCAAGAGGGUGAAGGAUUGUUUGCCAAACCUCAAAAUUCUACUUGUCACAAAGGAAUAAAAUGGCAGCCACAAUAAUACAAG